rnacentral:tRNA from 1 species
GGCAAGGUGACAGAGUGGUUAAUGUGCUGGCCUGCUAUUUCUAGUCAGCCAGUUCCUUCGGGAGCGUGAGUUCGAAUCUCAUCCUUGUCG